UACGUAGGGGGCAAGCGUUGUCCGGAUUUCUUGGGCGUAAAGAGCUCGUAGGCGGCUUCGUAAGUCGGAUGUGAAAUCUCACGGCUUAACUGUGAGCGGCCAUUCGAUACUGCGAGGCUAGAGGUCGGUAGGGGGACAUGGAAUUCCUGGUGUAGCGGUGAAAUGCGCGGAUAUCAGGAGGAACACCGGUGGCGAAGGCGGUGUCCUGGGCCGAUCCUGACGCUGAGGAGCGAAAGCUGGGGGAGCAAACAGG
rnacentral:rRNA from 1 species